rnacentral:tRNA from 1 species
GGGGCCGUAGCUCAGUUGGGAGAGCGCGUCGUUCGCAAUGACGAGGCCGGCGGUUCGAUCCCGCCCGGCUCCACCA